UACGUAGGGGGCAAGCGUUGUCCGGAUUUAUUGGGCGUAAAGAGCGUGUAGGCGGCCAAGCAGGUCCGCUGUGAAAACUCGAGGCUCAACCUCGAGACGUCGGUGGAAACCGUUUGGCUAGAGUCCGGAAGAGGAGAGUGGAAUUCCCGGUGUAGCGGUGAAAUGCGCAGAUAUCAGGAGGAACACCGGUGGCGAAGGCGGUUCUCUGGGCAUUACCUGACGCUGAGGAGCGAAAGUGUGGGGAGCGAACAGGA
rnacentral:rRNA from 1 species